ensembl:lncRNA
AUUCAAUCUGCCUCUCGUUUAUUUACCUAUUGUUCAGCAAACAUCUGACAUAAUAACUCCCUGAAGAGAAUCCAGUCGUAGGUUAAACCAGUUACUCAACCAGACGGUGAGCAGUCACAUUAUGCAACUCGCCAGAGGGCAGGGAGAAAGACAGGCAUUGUAAACACACACACACACACACACACACACACACACACACACACACACACACACACACACACACACACAUUCUUUAUCUAUUAGCUGUUACGAGUAAUAAAGUGUGUGCCUACACUAUGUGUCGAGUUCAGGUUGCUAGGGCAGGGCUGCAGGAACCUUGAUUUAUUGUGCUGGAUUAUGUGAAACUGGGUUACAACUGGCAGUCUGCCAUAGUUGUAGGGGGAGCCCUUGACCUAGAAACUUGGGAACAAAAAAAUAAGUUAAAGAAAACUGAACACAGGGACAGCAGGGGAAAAAUGCUCCAUAACCCUUCAGAAGCACAAAAGCUCUUGGAAACUGAUUGUGCUGUUUAUCAGUGAACCUCUUAUAUGGUUCACAGUGCUGAUUCACUAGAUUUCACAUGUCCUUGGCUUCCUUUGAAAUAUGUUGUUCAGUGUAGUGCAUACAUCUGAAUUCAAAGACUACUGAGACCACAGGCAUAGACUCAUACAAUGCUGUUUCCCACAGACUAAAGCUCAUAGCAGUUUCCUUAGAUGACUGUGGAUGAGAAUGUGAUGCAGGAACUACAGACUGAACACAAUGACCUCAGCGAUUGUAACAGUGGUCACGAGGGAGUUACACACUCAUACCUGCACAAGCUUCAGUGAUGCUAACUUCAAACGAUGGAUUGAGGUCAUCAGGUCCGUGUGCCAUUCCGUCACUGAUAGGAAUGAAAGAUUAAGGUAAAAAUGUGAUGCUGCGAUAAACAGACUACUCACGUUUUCAUAAUGAAUGUUCACUCAGUCAGGUAGUCAAAAUACUGUACUGAAUGAGUAUCAUCUCUCUGCAGAUCCGCUGCUAAUUAAUAAUCAGCUCUUGAAAAAAAAUAUGAAAAGAAAGAAGAUGCUGAGUUUCUGAUGAUGCUGUGUUUGUCUGCUUUGUUCUAGCAAUGACUGGGCUCUUCCUUGACACAAGAAAUCAAUGUUACUGGGAUUGAUUCUGUGCAGUUACACACUAGGGACACAUCGCCUGUCCAAACUCUUGUCUGCUACUGAAGAUUGCUGGUAGAACGCUUGCUCUUUCACUCAAAAAAAAUAAAAAAUAAAAAAAUUUCUCA